rnacentral:rRNA from 1 species
UACAGAGGCCUCAAGCGUUACCCGGAAUCACUGGGCGUAAAGGGUGUGCAGGCGGUGUUGUUAGUCUCUCGUGAAAGGCUUUGGGCUUAACCCAGAGACCGCGGGGGAAACGGCAACACUACGAGGAUGAGAGAGGUAGAGGGAACUCAUGGUGUAGGGGUGAAAUCCGUUGAUAUCAUGGGGAACACCAAAUGCGAAGGCACUCUACUGGCUCAUUCCUGACGCUCAUACACGAAAGCGUGGGUAGCGAACGGG